rnacentral:rRNA from 1 species
GGUGUUUACUGUCGAACUGAACACUCUACCGUUUACUGUCUGGUGGUGCUCUUCACCGAGUGUCACCAGUGGUCGGUACGUUUACUUUGAAAAAAUUAGAGUGCUCAAAGCGGUUUUUACACGACCGAAUACUGUUGCAUGGAAUAAUGAAAUAGGACUUGGUUCUAUUUUGUUGGUCUUCGGAACCAAGGUAAUGAUAGAGGGACAGACGGGGGCAUUAGUAUUGCGACGCUAGAGGUGAAAUUCUUGGACCGUCGCAAGACUAACUAAAGCGAAAGCAUUUGCCAAGAAUGUUUUCAUUAAUCAAGAACGAAAGUAGAGGUUUGAAGGCGAUCAGAUACCGCCCUAGUUCUAACCAUAAACGAUGCCAACCAGCAAUCAGCCUGUGUUCUCUUGAUGACACGGCUGGCGGCUUCCGGGAAACCAAAGUCUUUCGGUUCCAGGGGAAGUAUGGUUGCAAAGCUGAAACUUAAAGGAAUUGACGGAAGGGCACCACCAGGAGUGGAGCCUGCGGCUUAAUUUGACUCAACACGGGGAAACUCACCCGGCCCGGACACUGUGAGGAUUGACAGGUUGAAGCCCUUUCUUGAUUCAGUGGGUGGUGGUGCAUGGCCGUUCUUAGUUGGUGGAGUGAUUUGUCUGGUUAAUUCCGAUAACGAACGAGACUCUAGCCUACUAAUUAGACCGUGGCGUCCUCGUGCCGCCACGGCGCUUCCUAGAGGGACAGACGG